CUGGAAAGAGCCUAGAAGGGGUUAGAAGGUGGUUAGAAAAAGGAAGGAGGAGAAGAACAAAACAAAAUGAAGACACUCUUGUGUUAACUCCAAGAUGACACAUUCAGUAGCUGUGUCAGUAUAGCUCUAUGCCCAAGAAAAGACUGACCAGCUUUGGUCUGGAGAUGGAGAUUCCUGCAGACACUUGUUGCAUACAGAGCAGAGAACAAGAAUUACUCACAGGAAGAAGAGGAAUGGGAACUGGGUGAGAAAUGGACCAGUAGAGAGAUAAUAUAAUGGCAUAUGAAAAGUGAGGCAGUAAUGCAGUUCAAAAGAAAAAAAAGAAAGCAACCCCCACCGCUCUCCUGGAUCUUUCUGCCAAAGGCUGACAUAACUCUAAGUUUGCUAAGUACAAGCAGUCCAGGCAUUCCCAUAAAAAUCUGACUGUGCAAAAAGUACAAUCUUGUGGCAAAUGUACAGCCGGAAAGGAAUAAAUUUUUUCAGUGUACUCAACAAUUUUCACUAUUAGACUCCCACUUAGUUCAUGGGUUUUGAUGUGGAAAUGUUUUCCUAAAAGAAGGCUCAGACACAGGAUACAGUAAGCCACUCGUCUUCCGCAAAAAGACGCUUUGACCUCGAGUGCUGAAUCUCUGAUUGAGUAUACCGAGUUUCGUUUUUACUCUAAACCUACCCAGAAUCGAGAGGAAAAAAAGUCACAUACCAAAAAAGAAGUAUAUUAUUGUUUGUGGAAGAAAUAUGGUAUUAUUUCAUUACAUUUUCUGAUUCGCAUAUUUUAGCUAUUUCGUACCGUUUUAGUGCAAAAGCAAGCAUGUUUGGAAAAGGAUAGAAAAUUCUGCAUUUUAGAAUCUUUUGCUGAAAGUCACGGAAAGGUAAGACUUUUUCUCCCCGUACACUAAUUUUCAAGGUCUCCAUUAUUAAUGAAAUAUAUCAAGCGGAUUAUACAACAUUUGCCUGGGUAUGGUUAAAGACCAUACAUCCAGUAAGAUCUCAUGUAACAAAAACGUGCCCAACCCUAUAAACAUUUUUUUUUCCAUUUAAUGCUCAUAAAAUUUUACAGACAACAGAAUCCUUUCUUAAGCUUUAUUUAAGAAAUCGAAUACUAUUAUAGUUCAAUAUAUAUAAGACACAUCCAGUAUUGUGUUCCUGAUAGCAAGUGCAUAGAUUUUAAGAUAUCAUUUUUAUAUUUUAAUUUUUUUUUUAUUUGUUACUCAGUAGCAUGUUUCAUGAUCACACGAAGGGAUAUUCCCAGUGAUUUUGCUAAGAGCAUGAGAGAAAAAACAGAACACAGCAAAGUAGUGAAACUACAACAGAGAUGAGGAACAGAAACAAUCAGGCAAACUCUCAGUACAGUCGAUUCCUGAUAAGUGAAUAAUCUGAUUGCUUGGUCACAAUGCUUUAUUCACUUAUCAGGAAUGAUUCACACUACAUUUUGUUAAACUGUUUUCCUUAGCCUAAUACCUAAGAGUCACACUGGGCAAAGGCACACACACUCUGGCAGGCUAUUCUUUAAUCAGCAAGUCUUGUGACAGUUUGGUAAUUUCCCAUGGCGAUACACAUAUAGCUAACAAAGAGACAUUUUGCUAACACUGCAAGGUGCCUUACAUAAUUGAAAUUAAAAGCAUGCAUUUAAGCAGGACAAACUGUUCAGCUGCAUUGCUUUAAGGAACUCAUUUUUCCCCAUUGUUGAAAUUACAAAAAAAAAAACAACAAAAAAAAACUGUCUCUUCCAGCCCUGAGUAUUUAAAAGAAACCCAACUAUAGCAAAAGGGUUUUUUUUUUUUUUUU